CGGAACUGGAGUGCACACUCACAGGAGACAAAUCUGGAAAACAAAGAGAGAGGGGAACGGCUUCCAGUGAUGAGCGCUCAUCUUAUAAGUGACUGACCUUGCAUCCCAAUGCCAAGGGAUAUUCCUCCCCGAGGCUGCUGUGUCCAUGUCGGCCUUCCCAAUGCUUGGACCUUUGUGUUUCCUUUGGACUGUCUGCCUUUCUAUUUCUCCACUGGGUCAGCAAGGAGUCCAAGCCUUUCAAUGCAGUAAUGGAGUCUCUUUGCCUUCUGACCAUGUGUGUGACUUUAUAGACCAUUGUGGGGACAACAGCGAUGAGCAGCGAUGCUGCAGUUACGGGAGAUGCAACUUUGAGGAUGGUCUCUGCAGCAUGAUACAGGACCAGACCCUACUACCUGGUUGGACAAGGAGAAGCGGGGUGAAAAGUGCUUCACCUCCAUUUUGGGAUCACAAUGGCAACAUAUCUGCCCAUUUUCUCGCAUUGGUCUACAGAGUGGAUUCCAUCUCCUCAAAGAUAAAAAGCAGAAUUUUCCUUCCAACUAAUGAUCA
rnacentral:lncRNA from 1 species